rnacentral:rRNA from 1 species
AACCUUACCUACUCUUGACAUCCACGGAAUUUAGCAGAGAUGCUUUAGUGCCUUCGGGAACCGUGAGACAGGUGCUGCAUGGCUGUCGUCAGCUCGUGUUGUGAAAUGUUGGGUUAAGUCCCGCAACGAGCGCAACCCUUAUCCUUUGUUGCCAGCGGGUUAUGCCGGGAACUCAAAGGAGACUGCCAGUGAUAAACUGGAGGAAGGUGGGGAUGACGUCAAGUCAUCAUGGCCCUUACGAGUAGGGCUACACACGUGCUACAAUGGCGCAUACAAAGAGAAGCGACCUCGCGAGAGCAAGCGGACCUCAUAAAGUGCGUCGUAGUCCGGAUCGGAGUCUGCAACUCGACUCCGUGAAGUCGGAAUCGCUAGUAAUCGUAGAUCAGAAUGCUACGGUGAAUACGUUCCCGGGUCUUGUACACACCGCCU